rnacentral:rRNA from 1 species
ACUCAAAUGAAUAGACGGGGACCCGCACAAGCGGUGGAUGAUGUGGUUUAAUUCGAUGCAACGCGAAAAACCUUACCCACCUUUGACAUGUAUGGAAGAUCGCAGAGACGCGAUUGUGCUCGAAAGAGAGCCAUAACACAGGUGCUGCAUGGCUGUCGUCAGCUCGUGUCGUGAGAUGUUGGGUUAAGUCCCGCAACGAGCGCAACCCUUGUCAUUAGUUGCUACAUUUAGUUGGGCACUCUAAUGAGACUGCCGGUGACAAACCGGAGGAAGGUGGGGAUGACGUCAAGUCCUCAUGGCCCUUAUAGGUGGGGCUACACACGUCAUACAAUGGCUGGUACAAAGGGUUGCCAACCCGCGAGGGGGAGCCAAUCCCAUAAAGCCAGUCGUAGUCCGGAUCGCAGUCUGCAACUCGACUGCGUGAAGUCGGAAUCGCUAGUAAUCGUGGAUCAGAAUGUCACGGUGAAUACGUUCCCGGGUCUUGCACACACCGCCCGU